UGGACCCUGGACAUUUCUCCAAACACUUUGACCCAUUUAUACCAGCAGAACCAACGAAGGCCCCAACAGGUGAUCGUUAGCUUAACGAGCUAACACUAAGUGCUGUGUUGCUGCUGAGACGGGCGGAGCUGGACGCUCUUUGAGAUGCUAACGGGAGCUAUACGGCCUGCGGUACUGACAUCACCGACCCGACCGGACCCACGGAGGUCCGGUGUCGCUGUUACCACCGCACCGAACUCCAAACAGCACAGAUGUUGCCGAACCGGACACUAGAAGAAACGCCAAAGACGAGCCGCGCUAAUGGGAGCUACUACUACUGGAAAUGCUAAUGGAUCUGGUACUGAAUGUGAAACCGCUGCAACACCGAACGAAGUGUUGGUUCGGCAACAGCCGGACACAGAGCUGUUGAAGUACUUACAGGAUCACCAGAGCCUCCGACAUGGCCCCCGCACCAUCUUGGAAAAAGAUCUCGGUGCUGUUCGGUGCUCUGGACCAGAUGCCGGUCCCCGGAGAGUCCUCCAAAAGCAGCUUUUGCAAACAUGGAGGAACCGAGGUGGAAGGAUGAAGGAAGGCACUGGACAACCGCCUGUAAAUCUGCUUGGAGUUUUGCUUUCAUGAGUUGCAGUUAAAGAGAGAAAUAGCAAACACUUGCUUCAGGAGAUCCAACAAAACAAAAAAAACAACCUGCAGCAAUCUUUCUGGUUCAGACAGAUGAUUUGAAAGAACCGCAGUUAUUAAUCUUACAGCAAAUUGAGCUCAGACGUUUAAACUUGGAUCCCAAAUACAGUUGUAUACAGUGGCCAGAUUAGGGAUGGUUAUUUAUCGUAUUAUCUCCUAAUUCAGUUAUUUUUUUACCUUUUUUUCCCACUGCAGAAUCACCAAACCUUACCAAAAAUUUGUACUCUUGUUUCUAGUCCAAGACAAAUAAGACAAAAUUUACUCAUAAGUAACUUUGCAGCAAGAUAAAAGCUUAUUUUUAAUGAAAUAAUUCCUUAAUAUUGUUGAAUAUACGAGUUCCGCUGGCAGAUAAAUUCAUUUUUUAUAACAAGACAAAUUUCCCCAUGUUGUCAGUGAAAUAAUCUGCCAACGGAGUUAGAACUUGGUUGCUAGGUAACGAGCUGGCUGGGCUCGGGUUGCUAGGUAACGACUUGAGAUAAGUGAAAUAAUCUGAAUUAAUAUUGCUUUUCAACGAUAUUGAGGAUUUAUUUACUUAAAACAAUCUCCUAUUUAUUGAUGUUAUGUUACUUUUAGGUUAGUUUUGUCUUAAUUCAAGGGAACUAACAUAUUUUCACUAAACCAGAAAUCCUUGGUAAGAUUUUGUGUUUUUGCAGUGUUGACAUUUCUAAAGUUGACUCAAAAUUUGCUUGACAACUGAAUGGAAGCAAAACUACUGUUAAGUGGAAAUGAGGAAAUGAAAAAUAUUUAGAUACCAAAGUCAUCAAUUUAGCUCUUAGGUUUGGUUUUGGAUUUUAGUUCAAUUUUAUAAAUUUUUUAAAUGUCAUAAAAUUUGUAUUAAAAAGUUGCCAUCACUGUUU